CCACUUCAGGCAAGGAGAAACUCUGCAGAGGACUGGUCUGAAGUAAAGAGCAGGUAAAACACAACAGCAUAGUGUACACAGCAUACACCAGAACCACUCCC